rnacentral:tRNA from 1 species
AUAUUGUGGCUCAGUGGUAGAGCACUUGCCUGGGAAUGUGUGAGGCACUGAGUUCGAUACUCAGCACCGCAUA